rnacentral:rRNA from 1 species
CACGGCGCACGGGUGCGUAACACGUGGGUAAUCUGCCCUUCGAUGGGGAAUAACUCCGGGAAACCGAAGCUAAUUCCGCAUAACAUUCCUUGAACUUCGGUUUGGGGAUUCAAAGCCGUAAGGCGUCGGAGGAGGAACCCGCGCACGAUUAGCUAGUUGGUAGGGUAACGGCCUACCAAGGCUUUGAUCGUUAGCUGGUCUGAGAGGAUGGCCAGCCACACUGGAACUGAGACACGGUCCAGACUCCUACGGGAGGCAGCAGUGGGGAAUCUUGCACAAUGGGCGAAAGCCUGAUGCAGCGACGCCGCGUGGGGGAUGAAGCUUCUCGGAGUGUAAACCCCUUUCGACCCGGACGAAUGCCCCGCAAGGGGACUGACGGUACGGGUAUAAGAAGCCCCGGCUAACUACGUGCCAGCAGCCGCGGUAAGACGUGGGGGGCCAGCGUUGCUCGGAAUUACUGGGUGUAAAGGGUUCGUAGGCGGUGUAGCAAGUCGGGAGUGAAAUCUCUGGGCUCAACCCAGAGACUGCUUCCGAAACUGCUGUGCUUGAGUGUGGGAGAGGCGCGUGGAAUUGCAGGUGUAGCGGUGAAAUGCGUAGAUAUCUGCAGGAACACCCGUGGCGAAAGCGGCGCGCUGGACCACUAC